rnacentral:rRNA from 1 species
AGAGUUUGAUCCUGGCUCAGGACGAACGCUGGCGGCACGCUUAACACAUGCAAGUCGAACGAGAGAAGAGGAGCUUGCUUUUCUGAUCUAGUGGCGGACGGGUGAGUAACACGUGAGCAAUCUGCCUUUCAGAGGGGGAUACCGAUUGGAAACGAUCGUUAAUACCGCAUAACAUAAUUGAACCGCAUGAUUUGAUUAUCAAAGAUUUAUCGCUGAAAGAUGAGCUCGCGUCUGAUUAGCUAGUUGGUAAGGUAACGGCUUACCAAGGCGACGAUCAGUAGCCGGACUGAGAGGUUGAUCGGCCACAUUGGGACUGAGACACGGCCCAGACUCCUACGGGAGGCAGCAGUGGGGAAUAUUGCACAAUGGAGGAAACUCUGAUGCAGCGAUGCCGCGUGAGGGAAGAAGGUUUUAGGAUUGUAAACCUCUGUCUUCAGGGACGAAAAAAGACGGUACCUGAGGAGGAAGCUCCGGCUAACUACGUGCCAGCAGCCGCGGUAAUACGUAGGGAGCGAGCGUUGUCCGGAAUUACUGGGUGUAAAGGGAGCGUAGGCGGGAUCGCAAGUCAGAUGUGAAAACUAUGGGCUUAACCCAUAAACUGCAUUUGAAACUGUGGUUCUUGAGUGAAGUAGAGGUAAGCGGAAUUCCUAGUGUAGCGGUGAAAUGCGUAGAUAUUAGGAGGAACAUCAGUGGCGAAGGCGGCUUACUGGGCUUUAACUGACGCUGAGGCUCGAAAGCGUGGGGAGCAAACAGGAUUAGAUACCCUGGUAGUCCACGCCGUAAACGAUGAUUACUAGGUGUGGGGGGACUGACCCCUUCCGUGCCGCAGCAAACGCAAUAAGUAAUCCACCUGGGGAGUACGACCGCAAGGUUGGAACUCAAAGGAAUUGACGGGGGCCCGCACAAGCAGUGGAGUAUGUGGAUUAAUUCGAAGCAACGCGAAGAACCUUACCAGGUCUUGACAUCGUAUGCAUAGCUCAGAGAUGAGUGAAAUCUCUUCGGAGACAUAUAGACAGGUGGUGCAUGGUUGUCGUCAGCUCGUGUCGUGAGAUGUUGGGUUAAGUCCCGCAACGAGCGCAACCCUUACUGUUAGUUGCUACGCAAGAGCACUCUAGCAGGACUGCCGUUGACAAAACGAGGAAGGUGGGGAUGACGUCAAAUCAUCAUGCCCCUUAUGACCUGGGCCUCACACGUACUACAAUGGCUGUCAACAGAGGGAAGCAAAGCCGCGAGGUGGAGCGAACCCCUAAAAGCAGUCUUAGUUCGGAUUGUAGGCUGCAACCCGCCUACAUGAAGUCGGAAUUGCUAGUAAUCGCAGAUCAGCAUGCUGCGGUGAAUACGUUCCCGGGCCUUGUACACACCGCCCGUCACGCCAUGGGAGUCGGUAACACCCGAAGCCUGUAGUCUAACCGCAAGGAGGACGCAGUCGAAGGUGGGAUUGAUGACUGGGGUGAAGUCGUAACAAGGUA